GAUGAACGCUGACAGAAUGCUUAACACAUGCAAGUCAACUGUGGCGGACGGGUGAGUAACGCGUAAAGAACUUGCCUCACAGAUAGGGACAACAAUUGGAAACGAAUGCUAAUACCUGAUACUGUGAGAGAGCUUUGCGUCCCAUUAGAUAGUUGGAGAGGUAACGGCUCACCAAGGCGAUGAUGGGUAGCCGGCCUGAGAGGGUGAUCGGCCACAAGGGGACUGAGACACUGCCCUUACUCCUACGGGAGGAAGCAGUGGGGAAUAUUGGACGAUGGACCAAAGUAUGAUCCAGUAAUUCUGUGUGCACGAUGAAGUUUUCGGAAUGUAAAGUGCUUUCAGUUGGGAAGCAGUACCAACAGAAGAAGCGACGGCUAAAUACGUGCCAGCAGCCGCGGUAAUAC
rnacentral:rRNA from 1 species